CGGGUGAGUAACACGUGAGCAACCUGCCCCUGACUCUGGGAUAAGCGCUGGAAACGGUGUCUAAUACUGGAUACGAGUAGCGGCCGCAUGGUCAGUUACUGGAAAGAAUUUCGGUUGGGGAUGGGCUCGCGGCCUAUCAGCUUGUUGGUGAGGUAAUGGCUCACCAAGGCGUCGACGGGUAGCCGGCCUGAGAGGGUGACCGGCCACACUGGGACUGAGACACGGCCCAGACUCCUACGGGAGGCAGCAGUGGGGAAUAUUGCACAAUGGGCGCAAGCCUGAUGCAGCAACGCCGCGUGAGGGAUGACGGCCUUCGGGUUGUAAACCUCUUUUAGCAGGGAAGAAGCGAAAGUGACGGUACCUGCAGAAAAAGCGCCGGCUAACUACGUGCCAGCAGCCGCGGUAAUACGUAGGGCGCAAGCGUUAUCCGGAAUUAUUGGGCGUAAAGAGCUCGUAGGCGGUUUGUCGCGUCUGCUGUGAAAUCCCGAGGCUCAACCUCGGGCCUGCAGUGGGUACGGGCAGACUAGAGUGCGGUAGGGGAGAUUGGAAUUCCUGGUGUAGCGGUGGAAUGCGCAGAUAUCAGGAGGAACACCGAUGGCGAAGGCAGAUCUCUGGGCCGUAACUGACGCUGAGGAGCGAAAGGGUGGGGAGCAAACAGGCUUAGAUACCCUGGUAGUCCACCCCGUAAACGUUGGGAACUAGUUGUGGGGUCCAUUCCACGGAUUCCGUGACGCAGCUAACGCAUUAAGUUCCCCGCCUGGGGAGUACGGCCGCAAGGCUAAAACUCAAAGGAAUUGACGGGGACCCGCACAAGCGGCGGAGCAUGCGGAUUAAUUCGAUGCAACGCGAAGAACCUUACCAAGGCUUGACAUAUACGAGAACGGGCCAGAAAUGGUCAACUCUUUGGACACUCGUAAACAGGUGGUGCAUGGUUGUCGUCAGCUCGUGUCGUGAGAUGUUGGGUUAAGUCCCGCAACGAGCGCAACCCUCGUUCUAUGUUGCCAGCACGUAAUGGUGGGAACUCAUGGGAUACUGCCGGGGUCAACUCGGAGGAAGGUGGGGAUGACGUCAAAUCAUCAUGCCCCUUAUGUCUUGGGCUUCACGCAUGCUACAAUGGCCGGUACAAAGGGCUGCAAUACCGCGAGGUGGAGCGAAUCCCAAAAAGCCGGUCCCAGUUCGGAUUGAGGUCUGCAACUCGACCUCAUGAAGUCGGAGUCGCUAGUAAUCGCAGAUCAGCAACGCUGCGGUGAAUACGUUCCCGGGUCUUGUACACACCGCCCGUCAAGUCA
rnacentral:rRNA from 1 species